CUGUACACAACUGCGUCAAAACUUCCAUCGAAAGAGUUCGCAAGGACUAGUGCUUUGUCUAGUAAGCGGAGAUACAUGUGGCCGAUUUGUCCCAGACUGACAUUCGAUGGUGUUGCAAUGUGCAAAUGUCUUAGGGCUGAUUUGCCGGAACACACCCGGAGAUUCGUUGAUGAGUUAAUGCAGUUCUACAGCAACACCAUGGCAGAAUGCUGG
rnacentral:lncRNA from 1 species